CUCAUAAAGAAGGUCAUAGCUCAUUUGAUUGUGCAGAAUAUGUCUAUUCACUCAGAUUUCCAGAUGCAGCACACGGUUAAUACCAGAUUUGAAAACAGUUUAAACAAAUGAACAUGACUUUGACAAACCAGACACGAUGCUCAAAUAAAAUGACUCAAACAACAAUAUCACCGAAUAAAAUGAAAAUAUCACUGACUCAAGGCACAACAAGCACAGAUCAAGCAAUUUGAAGACCUAACACAGAUAUGAAGAUAUUCAUGAACAACAAAAACACAAAACUCAACAGAGAAGACAAUACAAACAGAUCAAGACAUUAAAGGAAAUGAUGAACAACGCGGAAGCUAAAGAAAAACUCAGAAUCAAAGAACUCAGACAAAACAAAUCAGAGACAAUGACCAAAACAGAAACACGAAUCACAUUGAACAAGAAUCGAGACAAAACCGAAACAGAGAAAGCAAAAAGCAGAGAUCGAGAUACUUAGCUUUGAAGCGUGCCUAACCCGAGGAAGAGAACCUAUGCUCUGAUUACCACAUGAUAAGCUCGACUCCAGUGAGGAACCAUGGAUCUGGUGCGCAUCGACAGACGAACGGGACAAGAGACGCAGCGGAAGUCGGAAAACGAAGAUAACCCUAGGUUUUGGUGGUUUGUUCGGUGUAAAUGAUAGGUUCAGGGUUUUGAGAGGUUUUAAUCGGUGGAAGAGAAAGGUUUCACCGAUUGAAUCGGUGAAAUAGAAAAUCUCGAUGUUUUAAUCGGUAUAAAAUGCUCGAAGCUAGGUUCAAUCGGUGUGAUGAAGGAGAUUGAGGUUUCAAUCGGUAAAAUGGAUCGUAGAUGAGACUUCAAUCGGUAGAAUGGUGACAAACCUGAGGGAAGAGGCUGAUCUGGCUUGAUUUCGUGAAGAAAAUGAUGUGAGGAGGAUGUGCUAUGGACGAAGAAGAAGCACGGUGGCAGACGCUCCUCGAGAGAGAUCUAGGGUUUGGAAAUAACGAAAUGAAAUUGAUGUAGGCAGCGAGAUAUGAAUAUGUGGAGUCUGACGCACGCCACGCGUAGGUUUCGUAGUGGAACGAGUGGCAUGAAUAGAUUGGUUUAUGUGGAGGAGAUACAUAGUGUAGGAGAGAGACAGCACAAUGGUAAAGUGAGAAAUGAAAAAAUGAGGUAGUGUGCUAGAAGGUGGCUAGAGGAGGUCCCUUGGACUCACUAACCUGAAUUUCAAGGGAGAAUUAUUUUCUUAUUUAGAAAACUAAAUUCUCAUUAAGCUCAAAAGUAAUUACAAGAUGUGUUAGCAUGCCUAUAUAUAGGGCUAAAUGUACCACAUGCCUAAAACAUUGUACACAUCUCUAAUACAAUUAAAAGAAAUACUAAACUAAAGACAUUAUGCUUGGGCCCCGCGUAUCACGGGCGGUACGUCGACUCUCCAAACUUCAAUUUUCUAUUCUUUUCUUGAGUCAACGACCUGUGUCUUCAACUCCAUUUUCCA
rnacentral:lncRNA from 1 species